UAAAGUGCUUAUAGUGCAGGCA
rnacentral:miRNA from 1 species